GGGGUCGAUUUGGAUUUGACAGCAGGAUGGGGUGCUCGGUAAGCACGCAGAGAGUUGGUGGCCGCUCUCUUUAAUCAAUGACCUUCAGACAAUUAUCUGGCGAAAACAACUACGCUCUCGCUGCUUGAUUGAAGUAUAGUAGAUCUAUAGCUUAAUCGCGGCACCAGGUGCUGCGACGAGAUGUCACCCGGAGGCUAACGCCCCGAAGCGCUUCGAACCGGUGGCACAGCAAAAUCGGGGAUAGCCGACAGCGGCCUCGCGCUGGCGGUGAAAAUUCAGAGGAUAAGGCAUUGGUUGGUGGCUUGGGUCUUGCCAGUGCACGAAAACGAAGACCAAGAUAAGCGUGUAGAAAGCUUAGGACUUCCCUGUUUGGACGAGGGUUCAAUCCCCUCCGGCUCCACA
rnacentral:tmRNA from 1 species